ACUUCGGUUCCGAAGUUAGCGGCGGACGGGUGAGUAACGCGUGAACAAUCUGUCCCAGACAGGGGGAUAACACAUCGAAAGGUGUGCUAAUACCGCAUAAGACCACGGUGCCGCAUGGCACAGGGGUAAAAGAACGGAAUCGGUUUGGGGUGAGUUCGCGUCUGAUUAGCUAGUUGGUGAGGUAACGGCCCACCAAGGCGACGAUCAGUAGCCGAUCUGAGAGGAUGACCGGCCACAUUGGAACUGAGAGACGGUCCAAACUCCUACGGGAGGCAGCAGUGGGGAAUAUUGGGCAAUGGGCGCAAGCCUGACCCAGCAACGCCGCGUGAGGGAAGAAGGUUUUCGGAUUGUAAACCUCUGUCCUAAGGGAAGAAAGGAAUGACGGUACCUUAGGAGGAAGCCCCGGCUAACUACGUGCCAGCAGCCGCGGUAAUACGUAGGGGGCGAGCGUUGUCCGGAAUGACCGGGCGUAAAGGGCGUGUAGGCGGCCUGUUAAGUUAGGAGUGAAAGUCCAGCUUUCAAGGUUGGAAUUGCUUUUAAUACUGAUGGGCUUGAGUGCAGAAGAGGUAAGUGGAAUUCCCAGUGUAGCGGUGAAAUGCGUAGAGAUUGGGAGGAACACCAGUGGCGAAGGCGACUUACUGGGCUGUAACUGACGCUGAGGCGCGAAAGCGUGGGGAGCGAACAGGAUUAGAUACCCUGGUAGUCCACGCGGUAAACGAUGAAUGCUAGGUGUAGGGGGUAUCGACCCCUCCUG
rnacentral:rRNA from 1 species